rnacentral:piRNA from 1 species
UCACAUCCGAUUGGUUAUACUCUCUCUCA